UACGGAGGGUGCGAGCGUUGUCCGGAAUCACUGGGCGUAAAGGGCGCGUAGGCGGCCCGCACAAGUCUGCGGUGAAAACCCCCGGCUUAACCGGGGGCCGGCCGUGGAAACUGUCGGGCUAGAGGCCGGGAGAGGGCAGCGGAAUUCCCGGUGUAGCGGUGAAAUGCGUAGAGAUCGGAAGGAACACCAGUGGCGAAGGCGGCUGUCUGGACAGAUACUGACGCUGAGGCGCGAGAGCGUGGGGAGCAAACGAGG
rnacentral:rRNA from 1 species